CCUUUACCAAACCAUAAUUUGUAUCAAAUAGGUUAGUGGAAACAAACUUGCUUCAAACCAUGGCUAUGAGCAGAGAGCUUGUUUUUGCUAACCAUGGUUAAGACUGACAGUAGUUUAGGGUUUGGGCCUGAUGCUAAACAGUGGUAAAUUUAAAACAAAUGUGAAAGCUUCUGAUCUGCUCUGACUACACGAGAAAAAGUGAGAGGUUGGGAAGAGUCAGGAAGGAAAGCCAGAGGCAACCAUUUUCCCAGGACAGGUUUAUUCACCUUUAGGCCUUUUCUGUACAUCCUUGUUUAUCCUGCUUCAAGUUGUCCAUGAUUUGAAAUUUCUGCUUCUUUCCCAAAAAGUUUGUGCAUAUUAGUGCAAUUAAAUUUUUAAUGUAACUCAACUGCAUUACAUUAGGUUUGUUUGUGGAACAAACUCUCCCGUAGACAAUUAAAACAAUAUAGAUAGUUGCUGCAUUUGCAGAGUAUAGACAAAAGCUCUUUUCUAUCCUCUGCAGUUACACAGCUAGCACAGGGAAUUUAUUUAGCUAACCAAGCGCAACUCCAGAGCUGUGCUGACAUAGGGAUCUAUGCAGGUGCAAAAACAAGAGGAUAUAUAUAUAUAAGCAACAAUAAUGUCCAGCAUCAUUAGAAACAGACUCCAAUGAAAACUAAAUGCUUGCCAAAUGGAAAAACAAAUGCAUUUUAAAGCAUCUGAUAAAUUAUUGCAGGCAGGGAGGAAAAUAAAACUAUUAAAAUGUAAUUCGGAAUGUAAUUAAAAUGUACAUUGUUGCAGACUACCAGUGCUAAAUUGAGUAAUUUAACUAAGGAAGCAAGUAAAGAUGAUGGAUUUUUUUGUGGCAUUCUCUCUUCAGUCUAAACAUUAAGAAGUUCUUCUCUCAGUUACAUUGAUGUAAUUGGAAUACAUAUAUUUAGCUAGCAUUCCACAGGCAAAAAGCAACAAUACCAUGAAGCCAACCCACACCAUAUUAAUUGGUUUAAGAUGCCUCAUUAUUUUCACAUAAAGUAUAUUUUGGCAUGCUUUUAGAAAACAAUCUAGGGUAAUCUCUUUACAUCUUGCUCUGAAAAGCUGGUGGUUGCUAGAUCAAGUUCUCCAAUAAUAUUAAUAUAUAAAACAGGGCCUCUCAGCCAUAUUAACUCUUGCAAUGUCAGGGGAAAUACUCUCUUUAACACCUCUCUUAUUGCCAUUACUCUGACCUCAAUAAUGUGACCCAUUUGAUUCACUGGCCCACUUCAGGCAAAGAUAACUCAUUUUUUAAAAGCCAAGAGGAGGUAAGGUAAAGGUAAAGGACCCCAUGGCAGUUAAGUCCAGUCAAAAUUGACUAUGGGGUUGUGGCGCUCAUCUCGCUUCAGGCCGAGGGAGCCGGCAUUUGUCC